AUAGGCAGACAAAGGAUUGAGGGCAGAAACGUGCACGUCAGCGUUGACUGGACGCCAUUAACCGUUCUGUUAGGCCUUUUUUUUUCAGUAAAACCGCUGUUAAAUAUGUGUUCUGGGAGAUGAGAAAACGUCUCUGGGCAUCCUCAAGAUUUCCAGAAGAAUCUUAUCCUCGUUUCAUCUUCUCUUGGUUGUGUUUGAACACCACGGGAGUUCCGAACCCCGAAAGAGCUGCAGAUUUUUUCACAAGCAUUUUCUCGAAAUCAGCAUUUGGCCAAGUCAUGAAGUCACCAAUUAAGGUGUGUGGAUGGACCUUCAACUUGAAGCCAAAAUACUGACAGAAAUGGAACAUGCCCUGUGAAGCCGUAAAAGAGAUGCCAUCUCCCCAGUGAUGUCUCAGUCUGGUGCAAACCCAACUACCUGUGGGGCUCUCCUUCAAGGCUGGACGGACUCAUCACAAGAAAUGUGGGCAAAUCCAUGGCAAUGUGGAGGUUAAAAAGUAAAACAAUUACAUGUAUUGUCAUGAAAAUAACUCGUAACAGCAACAGGCAAAAGUGUUUUCCAUCCUCUGUAGUUCGGAUGGAGGGCAAACUCCUAAUAGGAGGUUUCAAAUCUUUCUGUAGACAUUUGUCCAAUGCUUGAAAUUAUUAGACACACUGGCAUGAUUCAAAGUAAGUGAAACUCUACACUUGCCAUGGAUUUGCUAAGAUGAAUCUACGAUCAGAUUUAACUUCUGAAACUAGGCACGUCACCUUUAACUUGUAAAUUUUUAAUGUUCUGCUCAAUUCAAUCUAUUGGACAUUACAGAAAUUAAUAGACUGGAUUUUGAGUCAAGUUACAUCCCUUCGGGUCAAAUUUGAAUGCUUUGGAAUGAGAGGCACAGAGGACUUUAAAAAAACACGAUGUACAUGAAAGGGUUGCUGAAUAUGUGUACUUCUGUGGAAAUUUUUUAUACUCGAUUCAAGAAAUAUUUUAUGCCACAUGCAGGUUAUACAAGUUUAGAUUGACACCAUUCUCAACAUGAUUUAAAUCAUGUUACUUUGAGUAGUUGAUCGCUUUGGUUUUGGAGUAAAACUUCUCUGUGCAGCCAAUUUAGCUCAGUUCAUAUAGAGGCCCAUACUCUUCCAAUUUAUCCUUUGUCCAUUGUGAUUAGAUCAGUGAAAAGUAUUAAUUUAUUUCAUAUGUGUUUUUGAAAAAUAGACGUGCCUGGUUUCUAAGCUCCUUUUCGCCCAAAUCAAGCAAAUGUCUAAGUCUAAAUGUUUGGCAAGCAUUUUUUAAAUGACUAUGAUAUGCAGCUAUUUCAAACCACAGAUUAAUUUAAAAUGAGAGGAUUCAUGAUACGGGCGUACAGUUGAGUGGUAUUAUACUCUCUAAAUUCAAAAGUGUGAAAACUCAGUCUUUUCGAGUGAAAAUUCACUCCCACUGUCGGAAACUAGGGACCAGACGUUUAAGAUUGAAAUCUCUUCAAUCCAAAAGAUCGAGUUUUCACUCGAGCUCCGACUGUAGUGAUAUUUUUUCAGAUAAGUUCAAUUGAAAUUGGGAGUGAAUUCCACUCUAAAUCGUCGUGUCCCCAGUUUCACUCUUUCGGGUUUAGAGAGUAUUUUCACUGCUUAUUAACUGUUAGGAUAAGUAUUUAUCAGUCUGAACAUUUUGAAUUGAUCAAACUCCUCGAAAAAAAAAGCAUCUUUAGCUUCAAUACGACAGAAUUAAUUCCCCUUAUGAUGAGUCAAAACUUAAUUUAAAAGACAAUUCACAUUAUGUGCUGAUAUUAACUCUACUUCUGAUUGCUUGACCCAACUGAAUAAAAAGAUCAGCUUUGUUGUUUGUGGUGUUUUCAUUGAGAAGGGUAUCUGCUGCCUACGGAAACCCAUUUUCUGGUACAUUUCAUGGGCACUUUGCAAUGGAAAUGAAAACCAAAACAAACUGUAGUUUAAACUGCUCCUUAUUAAUACAUUUUCACCCAACGGGAACUGACAUUUAUAAGACUGAAACUUAAGUGUAUUGAUUGGUUGUGAUAGGCAGCAGAUACAGUGCGUCUUUCAAGGGUAAACAUUGGGCGAGUUGCAUUUAGAACAUGCAUAAAAAAGCUUGAAAAAUGAGUAAACAUUCAUGAGGGUGGUUUUAGCAAGUUGG